rnacentral:sRNA from 1 species
AAAUUUGGAAGUUGUUUAGGUGACAACAGGCAUUAUAGAUGAUAGGUGGUUUACCCGCCUCACCUCCUCAACCGGCGUGUCAAAUGAUAUCGAAUAACUGACACAACGCUCAGCUCUGGCUGUCCAACCAGAGUCAGAUAGAGGAAAAAAGCAUCAUGCAAUUUGGGACUAAGCCAAUAUGGACCUCAGUCUAUCUACUGAGACGGAAGUGAGGCAGGAGAUGCUGUUUGGGAAAUGAGGAGUGCGAGUAGAGCGGAUGGCCUCUACUAGUAGUAGGUAUGGUGCAGAUGAUGAGAGAGCCAUACGGUAUGUAAUAAUACAUCAUGUCGCUCUCUCCUCUAUCUAGCUACAAAUUUAUGAUGCUCCCUGUGCUGCGAGACUAAUAAGCAGAUCGAAUGAUGAUGGGUGAAGAUAUAGGUUGUUGCGGCUUGAAUGAUAUACCUCGGACCUGCCUUUCUGUUCGGUGUGGUCUAUGCUGACAUGGAUGGCGGUAGUUGGACCACCUGCUGUACUAUUUUGCAUCAAAAGCACUUCCCAUUUCACGUUUCAUUUUUCGCAUUUUCAUCUUUCGUUUUGCAUUUCACGUUUUUACAAAAAUUGAACAACCGCCGCGCGGUACUGAAGAAUAACAAUAGCAAUGAUUUGAUUAGGUUAGGCUUUCUCAACGGAUCUCGUCUUAACGUAGGUGAGACGAUCUUCGACGAAAUGUGUCGCUGGGUUUAUUUUGUGUUCAUAUAAUAUGAAUCAAGAUAGUGGUGACCCCGAAGAGAUAGUAAGGUCUUAUCACACAGCCUAAUGUCCUGCAGUGACAUAGAAGAGCUGAAAGCGCAACUUCCGCAGAAGCUGGAUGGCUGAUGUGUUGAAAUCUGGUCUAAGCAGUGAUGGGAUUAUUAUGAACGUGUAUAGUCCCAUGUCUUUGGGAUGCAUGUCCACUACAUUUUGCAACAUUGCGCAAGCGAUAUCCGUCUUGGAUGGGCGGUUGAGUCUAAAAUAUGCAUAUGCAGAUGACCU